UACGGAGGGUGCAAGCGUUAAUCGGAAUUACUGGGCGUAAAGCGCACGCAGGCGGUUGAUUAAGUCAGAUGUGAAAUCCCCGGGCUCAACCUGGGAACUGCAUCUGAUACUGGUCAGCUUGAGUCUCGUAGAGGGGGGUAGAAUUCCAGGUGUAGCGGUGAAAUGCGUAGAGAUCUGGAGGAAUACCGGUGGCGAAGGCGGCCCCCUGGACGAAGACUGACGCUCAGGUGCGAAAGCGUGGGGAGCAAACAGGAUUAGAUACCCUGGUAGUCCACGCCGUAAACGAUGUCGACUUGGAGGUUGUGCCCUUGAGGCGUGGCUUCCGGAGCUAACGCGUUAAGUCGACCGCCUGGGGAGUACGGCCGCAAGGUUAAAACUCAAAUGAAUUGACGGGGGCCCGCACAAGCGGUGGAGCAUGUGGUUUAAUUCGAUGCAACGCGAAGAACCUUACCUGGUCUUGACAUCCACGGAAGUUUUCAGAGAUGAGAAUGUGCCUUCGGGAACCGUGAGACAGGUGCUGCAUGGCUGUCGUCAGCUCGUGUUGUGAAAUGUUGGGUUAAGUCCCGCAACGAGCGCAAC
rnacentral:rRNA from 1 species